GUUAACUCCGUGCAAGCGUCAGGGGAAAAACGGAGGGAGGAAGGUUUGUCCGGAAGCAUGUGCCGUAAGGGGCGCGUAGGCGGCCCUGGAGGGCCGCUGUGAAAGUCAAAGGCUCAACGUUGGAAAGCCGGUGGAUACUGGAGGGCUAGAGUCCGGAAGAGGCGAGUGGAAUUCCUGGUGUAGCGGUGGAAUGCGCAGAUAUCAGGAGGAACACCAAUAGCGAAGGCAGCUCGCUGGGACGGUACUGACGCUGAGGCGCGAAAGCGUGGGGAGCGAACAGGAUUAGAUACCCCGGUAGUC
rnacentral:rRNA from 1 species